rnacentral:rRNA from 1 species
UACGGAGGGUGCAAGCGUUAAUCGGAAUUACUGGGCGUAAAGCGCACGUAGGCGGUUCGUUAAGUCGGAUGUGAAAGCCCUGGGCUCAACCUGGGACCUGCAUUCGAUACUGGCGGACUUGAAUACGGUAGAGGGGGGUGGAAUUCCAGGUGUAGCGGUGAAAUGCGUAGAGAUCUGGAGGAACACCAGUGGCGAAGGCGGCCCCCUGGACCGAUAUUGACGCUGAGGUGCGAAAGCGUGGGGAGUAAACAGG